rnacentral:rRNA from 1 species
UACGGAGGGUGCAAGCGUUAGUCGGAAUUACUGGGCGUAAAGGGCGCGUAGGCGGGAAUGUAAGUCAAACGUGAAAUUUCGGAGCUCAACUCCGAAGCGGCAUUUGAAACUGCAUUUCUUGAGGGACGACGGAGAAAGUGGAAUUCCACGUGUAGCGGUGAAAUGCGUAGAUAUGUGGAAGAACACCUGUGGCGAAAGCGACUUUCUAGUCUAACCUGACGCUGAGGCGCGAAAGCAAGGGGAGCAAACAGG